UACGGGGGGGGCAAGCGUUGUUCGGAAUUACUGGGCGUAAAGGGUCUGUAGGUGGCCGAUUAAGUCAGACGUGAAAUCCCUCAGCUUAACUGGGGAACUGCGUCUGAUACUGGUUGGAUCGAGGACAGGAGAGGAACGCGGAAUUCCAGGUGUAGCGGUGAAAUGCGUAGAUAUCUGGAGGAACACCGGUGGCGAAGGCGGCGUUCUGGACUGUUUCUGACACUGAGAGACGAAAGCCAGGGGAGCAAACGGG
rnacentral:rRNA from 1 species